GAUGCGCUGCUUUCCCCACUACUCCGUUAGGCGCUAAAGGAAGUUCGUUAUUAAUAGUGUCGUCGUCGAUGCGCUUAAUUAUACCAAAUUUGACCACAUUGGACAGUUUAGAGGAGUCGAGAAAGAAAACAAAUAUGGAAAUGCUAUCGUGUAACAUCAGUCGUACGAAGUCACGUCUACAUUCGAAGGAGUUCCUACGUUCCAUGCUUUCGCAAAAGGUUUUCAAACACAGAUCUCGGAAACAUCUUGGCACAAGUCUUCAAAGAUCUUUCACAAACAUAGUCGAAUGAUCAUUGACUGAACGUACCUAUGUUAAAAUGCCUCAGGAUAACGAAAGGAAGAUACAUGCUAUGAAUAGGAGAUUGCGUGUCGACCGUAAAUCUAACAAAGUUCCAAGGCAAACAGCGAAACGUCUCCGGAAGACUGUCUCUUUAUCAAAAGAAAGAAUGUUCCGUUUGAUGGGUUUUCCAAACUGGUGAAAAAUGGAAAGACUUCUGUAGUAUGUAAGGCUCUGUAUAUAUCCGACUUGUGCGUCUUUGCACUAACGUUACACUCAUAUUUCCCUAAAGCAUAUAAUUAUGUUCAAAGAAUAUUUAAAUUAGCUUUAUUGCACGUCAAUACGUAAAGAGCACGGUUUACUACAGAAAUCAAUAAAGAUUUAGUAUGUGCAUUAUUGAUGAAACAAUAGUACGGGGUAUCAAAUGAAACGUGAAGAUAAAGUAUGUGGUCACGUGGAUAUAAGUAACAGCACGACUUUUUCAAGCCAUUAUUUUUUUGACGCGGUCCAAAUUCAAAUUAUAGCUUCGCGCAGCAGGACAACUGGGAACAGACGAUGCAUGAAAGAAUCAAGUUAACCAGACAACUUGAUACUGGAAAAAAUAGUCCAUACAUCGCAGGUUCAUUGCUGCGAAAGGUGGGUUCGAAAUACUGCAACGAAAUUUACGAACGUCUAUUACACAUAAAAAUUAAUUAAACUCCUUUUAUAAACGUAAGUUUAUCGAACUAUUAUUUUUUAGAUGCAACUACUUCAAAUCACAGCAUCAGUGAAUUUUCAAAUUUCAUUUACGUAUAUAUUUUGUACAUAGUUUCAAUAUUUCUAAAAAAUACAAUGAUUAAUUUGCAACGUUUAUUCGAUCGAACGGUUGUUCAAAUAAUUAACUUCCAUUCUGGUGCUUCCUCUUCGAAAUUUAUUAGAAAUAUAGAUUUAGAUAAGUUUCAAUAGUGACUGAUUUACAGAUCAUGCCUUUCAUGUUUCAUAAAAAUUUUGCUUCUCUUCAAGCUAUAUUCGAAAUAAGCUGUUGUGGGGAUUUUCAGUAAAUUAUAGUUUAAGACAGAAAUCAACAAAUUCAGGGAAA